GUUGAACGCUGGCGGCGUGCCUAAUACAUGCAAGUCGAGCGAACAGACGAGGAGCUUGCUCCUCUGACGUUAGCGGCGGACGGGUGAGUAACACGUGGAUAACCUACCUAUAAGACUGGGAUAACUUCGGGAAACCGGAGCUAAUACCGGAUAAUAUAUUGAACCGCAUGGUUCAAUAGUGAAAGACGGUUUUGCUGUCACUUAUAGAUGGAUCCGCGCUGCAUUAGCUAGUUGGUAAGGUAACGGCUUACCAAGGCGACGAUGCGUAGCCGACCUGAGAGGGUGAUCGGCCACACUGGAACUGAGACACGGUCCAGACUCCUACGGGAGGCAGCAGUAGGGAAUCUUCCGCAAUGGGCGAAAGCCUGACGGAGCAACGCCGCGUGAGUGAUGAAGGUCUUCGGAUCGUAAAACUCUGUUAUUAGGGAAGAACAAAUGUGUAAGUAACUAUGCACGUCUUGACGGUACCUAAUCAGAAAGCCACGGCUAACUACGUG
rnacentral:rRNA from 1 species